GCCGUAAGGCGAAGUAUAGGGGCUGACACCUGCCCGGUGCUGGAAGGUUAAGAGGAAGGGUCAUCCCUUACGGGAGAAGCUCUGAAUUGAAGCCCCAGUAAACGGCGGCCGUAACUAUAACGGUCCUAAGGUAGCGAAAUUCCUUGUCGGGUAAGUUCCGACCCGCACGAAUGGUGCAACGACUUGGAUACUGUCUCAACGAGAGACCCGGUGAAAUUAUAGUACCUGUGAAGAUGCAGGUUACCCGCGACAGGACGGAAAGACCCCAUGGAGCUUUACUGUAGCUUGAUAGUGAGUGUUGGUAUCAUCUGUACAGGAUAGGUAGGAGCCUUGGAAACCGGAGCGCUAGCUUCGGUGGAGGCGUCGGUGGGAUACUACCCUGAUGGUGCUGGCAUUCUAACCUCGACCCGUGAUCCGGGCCAGGGACAUUGUCAGGUGGGCAGUUUGACUGGGGCGGUCGCCUCCUAAACAGUAACGGAGGCGCC
rnacentral:rRNA from 2 species